rnacentral:lncRNA from 1 species
GCGCCAUUAACCACCGUUAAAGGUGUAAUAGAAGUUAGACAUAGCACAAAUUGUGUCGUUAAACGCUGAUGUUGCUUCCAUUUCAUUGCCAUAUAAUUUAAACGAAUUUUAACCCUUUCUUCUUUUCUUACUUUAUUUUAUUUUUGGUAAACUACAAAAUAACCCAACAAUCACUUAGAGUCUCAUCCCAGCCAAGCCCUCUGGUAGCACCGCCAUCUUUUUCCAUUCACCCUCACCACUACUAUCACCACCAUCAUAACUCCACCGAUCCUUUGACCACCGUCUCUUUCAACUCUCAAACUUACAUUCUCGCCUCC